CUCGGUGGGAGUAUUUUUGUAC
rnacentral:miRNA from 1 species